rnacentral:rRNA from 1 species
UUACACAUGCAAGUCGAACGAUGAACCACUUCCGUGGGGAUUAUUGGCGAACGGGUGAGUAACACGUGGGCAAUCUGCCCUGCGCUCUGGGACAAGCCCUGGGAACGGGGUCUAAUACCGGAUACUGAUCUACUUGGGCAUCCAAGUGGGUCGAAAGCUCCCGCGGGGCAGGAUGAGCCCCCGGCCUAUCAGCUUGGUGGUGAGGUAACGGCUCACCAAGGGGACCACCGGUAGCCGGGCUGAGAGGGCGACCGGGCACCCUGGGACUGAAACACGGCCCAAACUCCUACGGGAGGCAGCAGUGGGGAAUAUUGCACAAUGGGCGAAAGCCUGAUGCAGCGACCCCCCGUGAGGGAUGACGGCCUUCGGGUUGUAAACCUCUUUCAGCAGGGAAAAAGCGAAAGUGACGGUACCUGCAGAAGAAGCGCCCGCUAACUACGUGCCAGCAGCCGCGGUAAUACGUAGGGCGCAAGCGUUGUCCGGAAUUAUUGGGCGUAAAGAGCUCGUAAGCGGCUUGUCCCGUCCGUUGUGAAAGCCCGGGGCUUAACCCCGGGUCUGCAGUCCAUACCGGCAGGCUAGAGUUCGGUAGGGGAGAUCGGAAUUCCUGGUGUAGCGGUGAAAUGCGCAGAUAUCAAGAGGAACACCGGUGGCGAAAGCCGAUCUCUGGGCCGAUACUGACGCUGAAGAGCGAAAGCGUGGGGAGCGAACAGGAUUAGAUACCCUGGUAGUCCACGCCGUAAACGGUGGGCACUAAGUGUGGGCAACAUUCCACGUUGUCCGUGCCGCAGCUAACGCAUUAAGUGGCCCCGCCUGGGGAGUACCGCGCCAGGCUAAAACUCAAAGGAAUUGACGGGGCCCGCACAAGCGGCGGAGCAUGUGCUUAAUUCGACGCAACGCGAGAACCUUACCAAGGCUUGACAUACACCGGAAACGUCCAGAGAUCGGCGCCCCCUUGGGUCCGUGUACAGUGGUGCAUGGCUGUCGUCAGCU